rnacentral:Y_RNA from 1 species
AGGGCGAAUGCCUGUGGAACUACAUUGGGAACUCACGGUCCGUAAGGAUCUUGCCGGUUCGAGUCCGGCCGGGCUUCGUGCCUGUGGCGGAAUUGGUAAACGCAUGAGUUUGAUGUUUCACGACCAACUCGUCGCCCGCAU